rnacentral:rRNA from 1 species
UACGUAGGUGGCAAGCGUUAUCCGGAAUUAUUGGGCGUAAAGCGCGCGCAGGCGGUUUCUUAAGUCUGAUGUGAAAGCCCACGGCUCAACCGUGGAGGGUCAUUGGAAACUGGGAAGCUUGAGUGCAGAAGAGGAAAGUGGAAUUCCACGUGUAGCGGUGAAAUGCGUAGAGAUGUGGAGGAACACCAGUGGCGAAGGCGACUUUCUGGUCUGUAACUGACGCUGAGGCGCGAAAGCGUGGGGAGCAAACAGG